GGGAAAGCAAGGAACAAGACAUCUCAAGAGUCUUAUCAACAAUGCUGCCUUUGAGUCUUCAUUUCAUAAACACAAGCAUGGAUAAAGGUGGCACACAUCAAUGAACCAAUCAAAUUGCCUGACCUACCAACCCUACCAAAUAGUCCGUGCCAUUUCUCAAUCUCAAUGUAGCUGAUAACAAAUCAAUGGAAAAGGCAGUCGUGAACUGAACUCAGUCAUUCAGAUUUCCUGUAUUUCUGUGGUGAGGCCAAAAUUGCUUUCCUCCAGGUCACAGGACAGAGCAGAAGAGAUGCCAAGGAAGUAGGGCCGUGAACGUGAGGCACUCUUUCUUUCUCUGUAUUGUUCCUACAGACAAGAUCCCUGUCUGCCAUCUGAGAAACUGUACACUGAAGUUUCAACCUUCCAGCUGUUGUUUCCAACAGAAAAGAUAAGUCAUCCAUCAACACAUAAAUCAUCUUGAUGCCAAAUCUGGGUAGAACAUCAAGCUCAGCCUGAAACCAUUCAAGUCAUCAAUCAAAAUGCAUACAAACAUAUACCACUGGUAUAUAAUGAUGCAUCAUAAACUAUUAGCUCUUACUGGACUUUAAAAUACUGCUUAAUCUAUUCUUCCAACUUGCAAUUUAUGUUUGCGUAUGCAUC